UGGGGAAUCUUGCGCAAUGGGCGAAAGCCUGACGCAGCGACGCCGCGUGGGGGAUGAAGCUUCUCGGAGUGUAAACCCCUUUCGACCCGGAAGAAUGGCCCGCAAGGGCUUGACGGUACGGGUAUAAGAAGCCCCGGCUAACUACGUGCCAGCAGCCGCGGUAAGACGUAGGGGGCCAGCGUUGCUCGGAAUUACUGGGCGUAAAGGGUUCGUAGGCGGUGCGGCAAGUCGGAAGUGAAAUCUCCAGGCUUAACUUGGAGGCUGCUCCCGAAACUGCCGUGCUAGAGUGCGGGAGAGGCGAGUGGAAUUGCAGGUGUAGCGGUGAAAUGCGUAGAUAUCUGCAGGAACACCCGUGGCGAAGGCGGCUCGCUGGACCGCAACUGACGCUGAGGAACGAAAGCUAGGGGAGCAAACAGG
rnacentral:rRNA from 1 species